rnacentral:rRNA from 1 species
AAAUUGAAGAGUUUGAUCAUGGCUCAGAUUGAACGCUGGCGGCAGGCCUAACACAUGCAAGUCGAACGGUAACAGAAAGAAGCUUGCUUCUUUGCUGACGAGUGGCGGACGGGUGAGUAAUGUCUGGGAAACUGCCUGAUGGAGGGGGAUAACUACUGGAAACGGUAGCUAAUACCGCAUAACGUCGCAAGACCAAAGAGGGGGACCUUCGGGCCUCUUGCCAUCGGAUGUGCCCAGAUGGGAUUAGCUAGUAGGUGGGGUAACGGCUCACCUAGGCGACGAUCCCUAGCUGGUCUGAGAGGAUGACCAGCCACACUGGAACUGAGACACGGUCCAGACUCCUACGGGAGGCAGCAGUGGGGAAUAUUGCACAAUGGGCGCAAGCCUGAUGCAGCCAUGCAGCGUGUAUGAAGAAGGCCUUCGGGUUGUAAAGUACUUUCAGCGGGGAGGAAGGGAGUAAAGUUAAUACCUUU